GUUUUAUUUACCCACAAAUAAUAUUUACAAGUUGAAUAUUUAAGAAUAUAUAAACGGGCUAGAGACCUCUGGAAAUCCUAUUGGACUUUUAAGACGAGGCCCAUAUAGUUUUAGUGUUCAGUAAUAUAAAAAUAGAUUAUGUACAUAAGGACAAUUUGCAAUGAAAAACACAAACUAUUUACAAACAAAUAUGGAAAAUGUUUAAGGAAUAUUUAGUACAUUACAGAAUACUGUCAUUAAUAUUCCUGAAAUAUUUACAUCAACUAGACAUCAAGUAAUACGAUUUUGCAGUUUUCUUAAAAGAAAAAUAUGAUUUAAUAUUUUUAAUUUCUUCAUCAAGGCAAUUCCAUAUAGAAACUCCUUUGUUAAAUACAGUGUAUUUGCGAUAGUUUGUUCUCUUAUAGCUCACAUGUAACUUGGUAGAAUUUCGAGUAUUAUAGUUGUAUAAUUCGUUAUUUUGUUUGAAGUAAUCAUUAUAAAAGUCCGGGAAAUUUUGACAAUAAUUGAAGCGAUACAUGAAUAAGCUGCAUAGAUAAUCAUUAAUUUUGUAGAUAUCCAAGAUUUUCAAUUGUAAAAAUAUUGGUUCAGAAUGAUCCAUAUAAGAUUUAAAACAGAUUAGUCG